rnacentral:rRNA from 1 species
UUAAAGGCAACGCCUGCCCAGUGAGUAAUUAAACGGCCGCGGUAUCCUAACCGUGCAAAGGUAGCAUAAUCAUUUGUCUAUUAAUUGUAGACUUGUAUGAAUGGCACUAUGAGAGCCCAACUGUCUCUUAUAACAAAUCAAUUAAACUGAUCUCCCAGUACAAAAGCUGGAAUAUCUCUAUAAGACCAGAAGACCCUGUGAAGCUUUAACUAAACUAUUAAACUCAAUAAUAACUAAUUUCGGUUGGGGCGACCUUGGAACAAAAAAGAACUUCCAAAUACGAGACAUUGUCUCAUACGGCUGACAAGCCCAUAGACCCAGUACACUGGUUAAUGAAAUAAGUUACUCCAGGGAUAACAGCGCUAUCUUCUUUAAGAGCCCAUAUCAAAAAGAAGGUUUACGACCUCGAUGUUGGAUCAGGACAUCCUAGCAAUGCAACCGUUUCUAAGGGUUCGUUUGUUCAACGAUUAAUAGUCCUACGUGAUCUGA